rnacentral:lncRNA from 1 species
UUCAUGAGAAGUCACUCACUGUCAUGAGGGCAGCACCAAGAGGAAACAGCUAAACCAUUCAUGAGAAAUCCGCCACCAUGGUCCAGUCACCUCCUACUAGGUUUCACCUUCAAUACUGGGGAUUAAAAUUCAACAUAAGAUUUGGCAGGGACACAUAUUUAAACUAUAUCAGGGAGGCUGAGAAGUCCCACGAUAGUCUGUCUGCAAGCUGGAGAACCAGGAAAGCCCUUAGCAUGACUCAGUCCAAGUCCAAAGACCUCUGAACCAAGGAAGCCAAUGGUGUAAUUCUCAGUCUGAGCUCAAGGCCUGAGAGCCUGGGGGCUGUUGGUGUGAGUCACAAAGGUCAAAGCCUGAAGAAUCUGGAGUUAUUCCAUCCCAAGGUAGAAGAGGGGUGACCUGGCUCUGGGAGAGAGUGCCCAAAUUCAUCCUUCCUCUGCCAUUUUGUUCCAUUUGGCCCCAGCCUGCUAGAUGGCCCUUGCCUGCAUGGAGGGUAGAUCUUCUCCACUCAGUCCACUGACUCACAUGCCAAUCUCCAGAAACACCCCCACAGUCACACCUGGGGCAGUCCAAUCGUCUGAAUCACAAGCAAAAACACUUAGUUUUUUGCUAUCAGCAGAAGAGGGCUGGGCUCAGUGCCUACUGAAGCACUGAGAAUAAACAAUGCUAUACCAGGUAGUAUCCCUUAAUUUGGUCAAGUUGACAACCCCAAAUCAACCCACAAUAAAUAUUUGGUUUUUGUCCCCAGUUCCUGGCACAGAGCUCCUUAAACCCUUGGAAUUUAUUAUCUUAUAUAUGCUAACUCUUAGAGUUGGGGAGGACCCUAGAUAGCUUCAAUAUGGUGGCUGGUCACCAGAAAAACCAACCGUGUAACUGGAGGUUGGAACUUUUAGCUUUGUCCCCUAACUUCCAAGAAAGGGAGAGGGGCCAGAGAUUGAGUUCAGUCAUCGAUGGCCAAUGAUUUAAUCAAUCACGUCUACAUAAUGAAACCUUUACAAAGACCCCUAAAUGAUGGUGUGUGGGGAGCUUAGAGUUGAUGAACAUAUGGAGGAGCUGGGAAGGUUGCACCCAAAGAGGACGGGGAAGCCCCCUCAUCCCCGUACCUUGCCCUAUGCAUCUCUCCAUCUGGCUGUUCCUGAGUUGUAGUCUUUAAAUUAAACUGGUAAUUGUAGGUAAAGCACUUUCCUGAGUUCUAGGAGUCAUUCUAGCAAAUUAUUGAACCUAAGGAGGGGCUCAGGGAAACCUCUGAAUUUGUAGUCAGCCAGGCAGAAGUAUGGGCAGCCUGGGCAUCCCAUUUGUAGCUGGUGUCUGAAGUGGGGCAGAAUUGCAGGACUGAGCCCUUAACUUGUGAGGUCUCUGCUAACUCUGGGUGUUAGUGUCAGGAUUGAAUUGGAUUGUUGGACAAGCAGCUGGUGUUAGAGAAUUACAGAACUGGCAUGGAAAAAUCACACAUAUUUGGUGUCAGGAAAAACCAUACGCAUAUUAUAUUACAUUCACCCAUUUUUCUGUGAAAUCCAAGUAUUUCUGUUGGAAUUGCUUUCGCCAAGAAGUGUGUAAGGAACUAUGAGUCCCUGUGAGGCAGAGCCUGAAGCAGUGUGUAGUUCCAUCUUGCUUCCAUCUGCCAUGGUAACUGGCAAUGUUCUAAACAGAGGCUGUUCCUUCAGCCUGGGCCCCAGAGUGAACACCAUGCAGAACAGAGAUGUGGAUGGAUCAUGAGCAAGAAACAAACCUUGUUGUCAAGGUCUAGGCAUAACUUGGUUUCAUAACAUGACCUGGAUUAUAUUAGUUAAGGUUCAGGUGAUAUGGAAUAAGGGAUUUAUUAUGGGAGAUGGGGUUUCUGCGUUCGUAGGAGCUCAGGAACAAGUUUAGGAAAGAGUGUUGCCACUGGUCUUGGGGCUGGAGUCCCUACAGAUCCUCUGGGCUUGAGGAGGGGAGAGGAAGGACAGAGUAGAACUGCUUGUCUCACUGCCUCCACCUCCAGCAUGUGGCUACCUGCAGAAGAAGCUGACAUCCUGCGCUUCCACACACACUCCUGCACAGAACUUGAAGGUGAACGAGGGGAGACUCAGCUGGGAGGAGGUUCUCCUUUGCCCAUUAUUCUUCCUGGCCACAUCUAAAGUGGAUAUUGUCUGUUUAUAGGCACAGCUGUUUAAAGAAACCAGAUGGUCUGGAUGCCACAAGUAGCCCCCUUGAGACCCGCUGCUGAAUAACUGAGGAAGUUCAGACCCACAUGAAACUGGUGCAGACCAGAGCAGGCGACCUCCAGUUACCUUUAAGUCAUUAACGUAUCAUUAUAAUACUAGAAAUCUUUCCCCUAAGAGAAAAUUGCCCCCAUUUUGUCUACAUGCAGUGUGUGUAGAAACAUGUUCAUGUACUAUGCCUGUGUUUGCAACUCCAUCCAGUACAUGCCCACAUACUUCCCCAGGCUUGUGCCCAACUCUCUAAAACUCCCAUGCCUCCAGGAAGAUGGUGCCUUUGGAACAUGAGCUCCCCUUCUCCAUUCUUUGGCCACUGAAUAAAAACCUGGUUGACUUCCCAAUUGGAUGUUCUUUCUUUGCAGCCAAUGUGAAGUAGGCAAAGAACACAAUUGACCAGUGACAUUAUGUCUCCAGGGGUCUUACUUUUAAGCACCAUGCUAACUGCUUUCCCUAUUCGCCCUGUGCAAGACCUCACAUGGUUGAAUAUUUAAUAAUUAAAUUCGAAUGAUGUUAGUGAAUUCUUUUAGGUUAUCGAUACUCGUUUAUAAGGUUGUGCCCUGAUACCAGUGAUCAGGACAAUGGUGCACUUCUCUAAAAAGGGUUGUGGGGUCCAGGUUCCACACUUCUCAGCAACAUUGACCUCUAAAACCAAGCAAGGCAGGGGAAAUCUCUGCAGAUUUAUACAGCUAGAAAAAUGAAAUGGUUGAAAAUAGGCAACUUUAAUUAAAAGAAUCUUCAACUAAACUUUUGUCUUUGGAGCUGUGGGUCUAAGAAAUGGCACCAAAGUAUGGUUUAUACACUUGAUAGAAAACCUCUCAGUCACCAAGAAGUGCCAUCCUUGCCCCUUGAAAAAGGAACUUUGUCUAUUCCUGUAUCUUGGAUCACAUGUUAAUGUCCUUUAAAAGUGGAAAUGGUUAGAUUCACAUUUAACAAAGCACAAAUCAUUCCCUCCAAUAUUUGUAAUUUUCAGGUGAAAUUGCAAGGAUGAAUAAAAAAGGUGACCUACAUAAAAAAAAGGAAAUAAAAACCAGAGGGGUGGGUCAAAAAAGUAAAGGUCUUUUUUAAGCUUUUGCUGGGCUGUGUUCCUGAAGGUAGUGGCCUGUGCACAUAAGCCUUUCAGUACCAGCUGAAGAGUCACUAGUCCUUGCUCUUCCAUCAGUGCCUCCAUAUCCACCAUAUGCAAUUCAGAGAAUUAAUGACAUUUCAAAUCUGUAAGAAAGCCUACUGGGGAUGGGUGAAUGGAGGAAGCACAAAGGGAUAUAGAUGUUAGGGUCUAACAGUCUAUAGAAUUCAGUGAGGGUCAAAUAACUCAAGGAGAAUCCAGUAUUUUAGCCUAGGUUUCAAAGAUAAGUGCUGUUCACUAGGUGGUCAAAGAAGAGGAGAGCAUUCCAGACAAGAACAGCUUGAGCUAAGGCGCUUAGGUGAGAAAUUACAACUGGUUCAGUAUGGUUCGUGUGAUGGGCACUAAGCCAAGGAGUGUGACAGAUGCUGAGAAGUGUUAGGCAGGGAGGUGCAAUUUUGACUGGCCCUAUGGGUCACACCAAAGAGUUUGAAGUCUAUACCCUAGGCCAGUGGCUUACUCCCUUGGCUACAUCCAUAAUCCCCUAGGGAGCUUAAAGAAAUUUUAACCACCAAGCCUCACCUGAGCAACUGAGUCAGAAUCUCUAGCAGUGGGGUUAGAUGUCAGUCUUUUAUAAAAAGCUUCCUAUGUGUACCCUGGGUUGGGAAUUACUGCUGUUGACUAUGGUGAACACUUAAAAGGUUUUAAGUAGAGAUGUGACUUGGUUAGUUUUUCAUUUCAGAAAGAUCACUCUGACUACAGUAUGGAGAACAAAUAGGAACCAUGUGUGAGGGCUGCAGAAAAGACACUGGGGAGGCUGGUGCAGUUCAGGCUAAAGAUGAUCAGGGCCAGAACUAUAGAAGUGGCCUUAAGACUGCAGAGGAGAAGUUAGGUAACUGUCAUCCUCCAUCUGGGAUUUGGUGGCAAAUUGAAUGUGUGUGUGUGUGUGUGUGUGUGUGUGUGUGUGUGUGUGUGUGUGUGUGUUGUGGGGGUUGUGGGGAAUAGAAGAUGUGGUGGAUUACAAAAAUGACCACAGACUCUCUUGUACAUACCUUACCAUUCUCUCACUAAGCAUGAGAGUCUGUUUUUCCACUUCUUGAAUCUGAGCUGUGACUUUCUUUGGCUAGGAUAAUGUGGCAGAAGUGACAUUUACCGAGUACUCUAAGCUUGGGUUCAAGGAAUUUUGUAAGUUUGUUCUCUCUCACUCUUAGAACCCUGUGACUCCCAAGUAAAUAAGCCUAUCCUAGACAACGAGAGACCCAUGGUCCAGUUGUCUGUCAUCCCAGCCUAGAGCCUGCCAACCACUAGACAUGCAAAGGAGGCAAUGACAGGUGAUGGCAGGUACAUGAAAGAGCCCAGUGGAGAUUACUUUCUAUAAAAGACUGUGCUAGACCCAACCUUCAGCUGUCCUCAGGAAUGGCCAAUACUACAUCCGGCAAGAGCAAUUCCUUUUAAUGUUUAACAAUUAGUCUCAAAACAGAUUGUUUAAAUGUCAAAACUUAGAAAUUCUUAUAAUAGAAAAGAAACACGAUCAGCUUAAAAUACUACUGCAUAAGCCGAAGGUCAUGUCAAUUCAGUUGAGUAAAUUAAAUAAAGGAUCACUGGGGUAGAUCGUCAUCAUCAUAACAUGGUAGAGGGUUUUUUCCUUUUGAAAGAAUGUUUCUAAUGUAUUUCUUUCUUAAACAUACUGUAUUGUUUCUCUUAAUAUGUAUUUGUUAUUGAGUUUAUUAAUUAUCAAUAUACACAUGGAGAUAAAUGCAAGCCAUGCUUGAAAAUUAUAUUACUGAAAUUUAACCCAUGACUGCAGUUGGACAUCUGCCUGGAUAAUAAGCAGCUUUUUCUCUCUUUCAAAAUUCAUGCUACAGAAGGCAAAAGUCAGUGUUCUUUCAUUACUUUACAAAGCCUUUAACAAAAAAGUAGAAAUGUAACUUCCUACCCCAAACAUACUGACAGGCCAAAUUCUUGGUCUCUUCCUCACUUUUACCUUUUAUGAAGUAUCAUUCAUAAUGCUCCUGUGUAUCUUCAGCCAGCAUACCAAGCCACUGGGUAUUUAAAGUAUUAGAUUUUUAUUGCUAAAUUACCACAAGGUUAGCAGCUCAAUUUUAUUAUUUUGUUGUUUCUGUAGGUCAGAAGUCUGGGCAUGGUGUGGAUUCUCUGCUCAGGGUGUCACUGGGCUGAAAUUAAGGUGUCAGUUGGGCUGUAGUUUCAUUUGGGCUUAUCUUCUCACUGCUGGUAAAAUUUAUUUCCCUGUGGCUGUAGGACUGAGGCCCCCAUUUUCCUUUUAGUAGGCUUUAGAUAGUUCUCAGCAGCUAGAGGCCACCCACAAUUUCUUGCCAUGGGGCAGUUCACGGCAUGGCUGUUUGUUUUUGCAGGCUAGCAGGAGUGAGUAGUCUGAGUGCCUCUUCUGCAACUAGCUGGAGGAAACAUCGAUUUUAAAGGGCUCACUUGAUUAGAUCAGACCCACCUUGGCAAUCUCCCUAUUUUGAGGUUAACUGAUUGGGACCCUAAUUACAUCUGCAAUCCUUUUACAAUGGUGCCCAGAUUAGCAUUUCAGGAGAGAAGAUGUGUGUGCACCAGGGCCAAGAGUCUUGGGGGCCAUCCUAGAAUUCUGCCUACCAUGGCCACGAUUAAGGGAUCCUACAAUCACACGAUCAGAUUCUAAUUAAGUUGGGAACAAAUAUCUUCCACAGCAUGAAUUCUACCACCCAUUUCCUCCUCAUAAGUUUUCCAAUUGAUUAAACUGUCCAGUUGGAUGUUUGAGUUUACAAACUCCCACAAUCACAGGUGUUCUAGAGCUCUUGUAGGUCCUGGUGUAUGACUUGGUAGUGCACCAAGGAGGAUUAGAGAAGACAGCAGUCAACUACAGCACAGUACUGGGGUGUGAGGGAGGGAGGCCACACCAGGGACAGCAGCAGCACAUUUCAUGUACAAAGCAAGGGAAGAGAGAUGAAGCCUUCCUCCUAGCAAGUAUAGUUUUCCCCAUGUGAUUUUAUGACUUUUGACAUGUCAUUUAAUGACACCUGACAAACCAAUAUUUAUGAGGUUGUGUUUCAGUUUGAAAAAAAUGACAAACUUUUGGACAAAUAGGACAGUUUCCUAUCCUACAGCUCUCUGAUGAGGAAAUUGGAAACAGAAAUACCAUUAAUUGUUCUUUCUACGAGAGUGUGUCAAUUGUAUAAUGGAAACUUUGUGAUCCUACAUAAAACCAUUUCUAUUACUUCAGAGUACAAAGAAUUUGCAAAGAGACGUAGGCAGAAUGUGGUGUAGGGACUUUAAUUUACUUACCUGCAGACUGUUCCCAUUCCAUCAUAACUUUAUUUAAAUCAUGGUUAUGCUCUUAAUUAACAAUUUAAUUGGUUGGUGCUUUCUCAAUCCAGUUCUCUAGGGGCAUGGUUUUCUGUUUAACUUUCUUGUUUUAAUUCUUCCGCAAAACCAUACAAUUUAAUUAGGAAAGUAACCAGCUUUGUAACAGCAGUUCUAUGUCUAAUUAACUAUGCUUUGACAGUCUCUUCUCAGAUUCCGUUCAACAUGCACAUGCAUUUUGCAUUUGUUCAUGUUUCAGAGAAGACAUUGUGAAUUUAUAGCCUAUGCAUGUAGUCCAAUUACUUUCCACUUUCCCUAAGAUGCUUGGUUACAACUAGUGAAAUCAGGAAAAUUAACAAUGAUUCAUAUAUGAAUCUGAGAGCCAAAGGCCAAGAUGUAGGUUGUUAGUUCACUGUGUGUGUGGGUUUUCUCCUCCUGCAGAAUAGAUUACCACAAACUUAGCAGCUUAAAACAAUACCUAUUUAUCAUCUCACAGUUCUGCAGGUCAGAAGUCCCGACAUGGCUGGCUAGAUUCUCUCUUCAGGUAUCAAUGGGCUAAAAUCAAGCUGUUAAAACAGCCCUUAUGAGAAUUACAAGUCAGGCUUUAGGCAGAAUUAUAGUUGGGCAUUGACCGGGGUGUGCUGAUGUACUUCUACCCAAGUUCCUGCAGCUGCUAACUAACUGAGAUCCACAUUGUGGGGAGCACGGACCACCUGCUCCCCACAUUGUUCCUAUAGAUGGAAUCUCUGGCACUGGACCUUUCUGCCCAAGAGUUGCUUAAAGUGUUUUUCAGAUCUUGAAUUCCAGCAGAAUAGCUGACACCAACCAGUCUGAAGACCUCCACCAAUAAACCAACUCAGCAAAGAAGUGUAGGAAAUGCAGUUUUUUCAACUUCCUGUCCCAUGACUUCACUCCUCACUUCUCAAUCAAUCUGUGAUCCCAAUUCCUGUUCAGCCCAUCACCUGUUCAGACCCUAACCCAACCUCCUUGGGGAGGCAGAUUUGAGGUUUCCUCCCAUCUCCUUGUUUGGCUGCCCUACAAUUAUCAAACCAUUUAUCUGCUGCAACUCUUGUUGUUUCAGUAUAUUGGUCUGUUACUGCACAAUGGGCAAUCAAACCUAGUGGUCCUAUAACAGUGUCCGCUGGGCUGCCUCCUCCAGGCUUAUGUGGCAGAAUCCACUUGCUUGUGUUUGGAGGACUGAUGUCUCAAUUUCCUUGCUGCCUAUCAGCUGAAAUCCAUUCUCACUUCCUAGGGGCCAUUGGAAUUCCUUAGCUCGUGACUCUCAUGGAUAGUUCACAACUUAGCAGUUUGUGAACUGCUAUCUUGAGACCAGCAGAAGCACUUCUCCGACCUCUUCUGUGAACAGCUAGAGGAAACUUUUUGCUUUUAAAGUGCUCAUCUGAUUUAGGUCAGGUCUGCCCUAUGUCAUUUCCCUUCUGCCAUAUAAUGUAGCAUCAUCAAAGGAAUGGCUGUCCCAUCAUAUUCACAGGCCCCUCCUCAUCCUCAGGGGAGUGAUUAUUCAGGGCAUGUACACCAGAGGGGAUAGAAAUCUUGGGGCUAUCUUAGAAUUCUGUCUAUCACAGUGUGAUUUAGGGAAGGAAGGCAACUAAAGGUCUUCUGGCAAACCCUCCUUCUUCCCUUCUAGAGGCAAUGCACAGGGAAUGCAAAGAAGCUGUUAGCAAUGCCCAUAAUUCUGUCCCAUUAGCUCCACAGGCUGGAAGAUGACACACGGUCAUAUUCUUUUUUCUCUGCAGGCUGCUUUCUCUGCCUGGCCAGAAUUGCUGCUUUCCAUAGUACAAAUGGUUUGCUUGGUUGAAAUCAUUCAAAUUUAAAAUGACAUCAAGGUAACGCAAUGCUUUUAGAUAGAAAUUUAUCGAAACUCAAUAUCUCCAACUUCAAUCCAAUAAAACUACCUCUUUAGUGAAAGGAAAUGAAGAAAUGUACAAAAAAAUUUAACAGAGCAGGUCUGAAAAAUACUAUCUUUAGAAAGGCCUGCUUGUAAAAUUGGCCUUGGCUGGCAUUUGGAAAGUUGGAUAUCAGGAGGGCUACCACCACUCUAACUAAUAAGAGUGAUUCAAUGUGCUUAGAUUGUGCAAAUAAUGUAGUUCAUGCUGAACACUUACUUUUCUUCUGGGAGUCUGGAAUUUGGGUAUGUGCUAGGCAGAGGGUAUCUACAUAACUUUACCCCAAUAAAAACCCCAGGCAUUGAGUCUUUAAUGAAUUUCCCUGGUAGACAACACUGCAUGUUUGUUGUCACAAGUUGUUACUGAUGGAAUUGAGCACAUCCUGUGUGACUCUAUUGGGAGAGGCCUCUUGGAAGCUUGUGCCUCAUUUCCCCUGGACUUCACCCAAUACUCCUUUACCCUUUGCUGAUUUUGCUUUGUAUCCUUUUGCUGUGACCGAUCAUAGCUGUGAGUAGGACUAUAUGCUGAGUUUGGUGAGUCCUUAUGCAACCCAUUGAAUGGGGGCAUGGUCUUGGUGACCCCUGACUCUAGAGUUAAAGUAAAUGAUAAUGAUAAUGAUCACAUUCUGAGUCUAGGCUCCACUGCCCUGCAAACUUGGCUUCAAUCCUCUCCAUUGUGAGGAAAAUCAGAAUAAACUGACUAGAGGCAAGAGGCAGGCCUCAUUUGGGUCCUAGAGGGCUUGACACCGACUAGAUCCAUGUUCCAAUCCCAUACUGUGGCUUGGGCAAGUUACUUAACUCUGUCUCUCUUCUUCUGUAAAACAGCAAUAACAAUAGACUUACUUCAUAAGAUUGUUAAAAUGAGGCAAUUUGUAGAAGCAUGUAGCAUUGUGGCUGAGAGGAGCUGGAUGUGACUGUGUGGAGUGUAGAGCACAGCUGAUAUCCUAAUAUUAAGCUUCUUUCUUCCCUUCACUCUGCUCCCUUCUUUCUCACCAGAUCCCUUUCCCUCCAUUCUCUGAGUUGUCCCCUAAGCUCCUUUACAUCCAAACCCCAUUUCCUCCCCCAGGUGGCCGCCUUUCUUUGAGGACUAAAUGAAAACAAUCUGCAGGAAUGAUUUUCUUUAAAUGCUUACCAAAAAGGGCCCAAUGUAAAUGUGUGGUCAUCAGUGCCAGCAGCCCUAUUUACAGUCUAGAGCUUUGAUUCCAUCUAUGAUGAUUUCUGAGAGUUUAUAAGUAACCCCUACAGUCCUCACAGAUGUAAUUUUAUUGCUUUUGAUAAUGGUAAGUGAUUAUCACAAAUAUAACAGUGCAAGUUCAUUACUUUGUAAGGCCUAACACGUAAAUAGAUUCACAAAUGGUAGAAACAUCCUUUGAGAAAUAUUUUGCUCCAAUAUUUUGUUCAGAAUAUCUGUUCCCUAAAACACUGGACUUCAAAAUGAAAAGUGGCUAUUUUUCUGGUGGUAUAUGAAAACACAAUUUCAGUGGAGACGGAAACUUCCACUCAAAACUUGCUUUGCUUCUUUGCAAUUAAUAAGUUCCUGGUGGACUAUUCAGAAAGUGUUCAGCUACAAUUGCUGAAAAGGAUGUCGUUGGGUGAAGAGGUUAACGAUAGCCUCCUAGAAGCAGAUUCCUGCUAGAAGAAAAGGAGGUUUAGGAAAUGCCCAGUGACCAUGGUCUCUCUGGUAUUGCAUAAAACAACCACAAUUUGGGGAUGGGUUCUUGCAUCCUCACCCUGGGCCCUUGUAAUGAGACACCAUGCUUGAACUCAAUACUAUUUGUAUAGGGGCUGGGAAUGAGGAGAAGACAGGGAAUCAAUAAACUCAAUGUUCAAGACAUCAUUUGCAAAUAAAUUCAAUAUUUGAAGGGGAACAUGCCAAAGAGAAAAAUCAAACCAUAAAUAAAAGAAAAAAAGUUUGUUAAUUACAAAUAUCUCCAGAAGCCACAAUGUCUCCUUCCUCCCUCAUUCCCUAACACUCCUUCAGGUAGGACUGUACUUCAGUCAUGUAGGAAAAAACAUUUUUCUAUUUCAUAUUAAAGAUUAAUGAGGCCUGUUUGGUAAUCUGCUUUGCUGUCCAUUAAAAUGAAGCCUAAACCACCACAUAGUUUUUGGGCUUGCUUGUGUUUUGGUAGGCAUGGAAAAGAACCAAUCACACCACACUUCUCAUCGUAACUUUUAGGUAAAAACUAACACUCAAUUGUAUGCACUGAUGGAGUUACAGAAAUGCUCUAACUCUAAAAUCCAUAAAGUUUAUCAAAGAUUGAAUAAUCAGAGCCUUCAACCUUUGCCAAGAAAAUUCUCUUAUCAGACCCACUGAAACAUAGCAAAACUAAUUAACUUGAAUUUCUGGCUUUAAUUUUUCCUCAACUCACUUCUGCUUAAAGUUUUAAUUAAGAGGAAAGUGCCUAGAUGAUCAGUAGGAAGAUUCAAGAAGGAAAAGAGAAGCUCUAGAAAACAGGAAACUGAAUUCAUUCAUUCAUUAAGGAAAAAUAACAAAACCAUGUAUUGAACUUCUAGGACAUUCCAGACACUAACUAGAAAUACAGCAAUGAACAAAAAAUAGAUAAACUCUCUCAUGAAAUUUACAUUCUACCUUGGAGAUGGGUAGUAAAUAGAUAAUGUGUCAGAUAGAAAAUUUUCUUUUUU